CUAAAUAUUGAAAUUAUUUUUUUUUUGUAAUGGAAGUUAACUUAAUUAUUUUAUAUUAGUAAUUCUUGAAUUUAUGAUUUAUAAUUAUAGUAUAUUUUACAGUGAUGGAUUUUUGAAAUAUUAUUAUUAUUAUUAAGAAGAAGUAUAUUUGUACCUUUUGUAUCAGGGUUUAUUAAAAAUAAUGAAUUUAUUUUCUGUUCUCGAAUUGGGAAGAGCUAUUUAACUAUGAUUGUUAUUGUAAUAUAAAUAUAUUUAAUAGUUAAAUGGUAGUGAUAUGUUAUUCGUUUUCUAAGAUAUCUAGUUUUUCAAGAUAAAAAUUUAAUUUUGGGUUUAAUUUUAUUUGAUAUUAAUUUUUGUUAUGGAUAUUAAGUUGGGUUGAUUCUUAAUGCCUUAGGGAUAAGCUUGGGGUAUUUUAUUAUAAGUUUUUGUUUAUAAUUUUAUGUGGGCUUUAAAAUGGCUAUUAUUAAUGAAUAUGUUAUAAUUGAUUUUAUUAUUGAUUUUUUUUUAUUUUGAGUGGUAUAUUGAAAUAUUUUGGUUAAUGUGAUUUUAAUAUCAAUAAUGAUGGAAUUAGUAGAUUAUUUUGUUUAUUAUAAUAUUUAAGGGUAAUUUAUUUUAAGGAACUCGGCAAAUAUUAUAUAAUUGUUCGCCUGUUUAUCAAAAACAUGUCUUCUUGCUAUUGAUUUGAAGUCGUGCCUGCCCAGUGAGGAGUUUAACGGCCGCGGUAUUUUGACCGUGCAAAGGUAGCAUAAUCAUUAGUCUUUUAAUUGGGGGCUGGAAUGAAUGGUUUGACGAAACAAUAACUGUCUCAAUAUUAUUGAUUGAAUUUUAUUUUUAAGUUAAAAAGCUUAAAUGGGAAUGGGGGACGAGAAGACCCUAUAGAUCUUUAUAAUAUAAUUAUAAUUAAAUUGUUGGUUGUUAUUUAUUUAAUUUUGAGUAUAUUAUUUCGUUGGGGUGAUGAGAGAAUAAAUAAGCUUCUAUUUUUUUAAACUAUGAUGAUUGGUUUAUAUGAUCCUAUGUUAUGGAAUUGAGAGUAAGAUACCUUAGGGAUAACAGCGUAAUUUUAUUGGAGAGUUCAUAUCGAUAAUAAAGAUUGCGACCUCGAUGUUGGAUUAAGAUUAUAAUUAGGUGCAGUAGCUUAAUUAAUUGGUCUGUUCGACCAUUAAAUUCUUACAUGAUCUGAGUUCAAACCGGUGUAAGCCAGGUUGGUUUCUAUCUCCAUUAAUCUAAAUAUAUAUUUUAGUACGAAAGGAUUAAAUAUAUUAAAUAUUUUAUGGUUUACGAAUUGAUUU
rnacentral:rRNA from 1 species